CAGAACGAACGCUGGCGGCAUGCCUAACACAUGCAAGUCGAACGGGAUCCGAGCUUCGGUUCGGUGAGAGUGGCGGACGGGUGAGUAACGCGUGGGAACCUGCCCAGUGGUGGGGGAUAACUGCGGGAAACUGCAGCUAAUACCGCAUGAGCCCGAGAGGGGAAAGAUUUAUCGCCAUUGGAGGGGCCCGCGUUCGAUUAGGUAGUUGGUGAGGUAACGGCUCACCAAGCCUUCGAUCGAUAGCUGGUCUGAGAGGAUGAUCAGCCACACUGGGACUGAGAUACGGCCCAGACUCCUACGGGAGGCAGCAGUGGGGAAUAUUGGACAAUGGGGGCAACCCUGAUCCAGCAAUGCCGCGUGAGUGAUGAAGGCCUUCGGGUUGUAAAGCUCGUUUGCCAGGGACGAUGAUGACGGUACCUGGAGAAUAAGCCCCGGCUAACUUCGUG
rnacentral:rRNA from 1 species